rnacentral:rRNA from 1 species
GUCUACGGCCAGACCACGUUGAAAGCACCAGUUCGAUCACUGAAGUUGAGCAACGUCGGGCUCGGUUAGUACUUGGAUGGGUGACCACAUAGGAACGUCGAGUGCUGUAGUCU